rnacentral:rRNA from 1 species
GUYUUUUUGAUGUUAAUUUAAAGUCUGACCUGCCCACUGAAUUUUAAAUGGCCGUGGUAUUUUGACCGUGCUAAGGUAGCAUAAUCAUUAGUUUCUUAAUUGGAAUCUGGAAUGAAGGGUUGAAUAAGAAAAAAGCUGUCUCUAUUUAAUUAUCUUAGAAAUUUAUAUUUAAGUUAAAAAUCUUAAAUUUCUUUAAAAGACGAGAAGACCCUAUAGAGUUUAAUUAUUAAGAUUAUUAUUUAUUUAAGAAUUUAUAUAAAUAAUUAUUAAAUAAUUUAAUUGGGGUGAUUAAAAAAUUUAAUAAACUUUUUUUAUUUUUAUACAUUGAUUAAUGAUUAAUUGAUCCAAAAAUUUUGAUUAAAAGAAAAAAUUACCUUAGGGAUAACAGCGUAAUUUUUUUAGAGAGUUCAUAUUAAAAAAAAAGAUUGCGACCUCGAUGUUGGAUUAAAAUAAAAAUUUGGUGUAGAAGCUAAAUUAUUAAGUCUGUUCGACUUUUAAAAUUUUACA